rnacentral:misc_RNA from 1 species
GAUGAAGAACGUAGCGAAAUGCGAUAAGUAAUGUGAAUUGCAGAAUUCAGUGAAUCAUCGAAUCAUUGAACGCACAUUGCGCCCGCCAGUAUUCUGGCGGGCAUGCCUGUUCGAGCGUCAUUUCAACCCUCAAGCCCCAGCGGCCUGGUGUUGGGGACCGGCGACCUCGCCCGAGCCCGCCCUCCGGGGCGCGUGCCCGGUGCGUCCGCCGCCCCCGAAAUGAAUUGGCGGCCUCGUCGCGGCCUCCUCUGCGUAGUAGCACAACCUCGCAAGCGGGAGCGCGACGCGGCCACUGCCGUAAAACGCCCAACUUUUUUAGAGUUGACCUCGGAUCAGGUAGGAAUACCCGCUGAACUUAAGCAUAUCAAUAAGCGGAGGA